AUUGAACGCUGGCGGCAGGCUUAACACAUGCAAGUCGAGCGGAGUGAUGGUGCUUGCACUAUCACUUAGCGGCGGACGGGUGAGUAAUGCUUAGGAAUCUGCCUAUUAGUUGGGGACAACAUCUCGAAAGGGAUGCUAAUACCGCAUACGUCCUACGGGAGAAAGCAGGGGAUCACUUGUGACCUUGCGCUAAUAGAUGAGCCUAAGUCGGAUUAGCUAGUUGGUGGGGUAAAGGCCUACCAAGGCGACGAUCUGUGGCGGGUCUGAGAGGAUGAUCCGCCACACUGGGACUGAGACACGGCCCAGACUCCUACGGGAGGCAGCAGUGGGGAAUAUUGGACAAUGGGGGGAACCCUGAUCCAGCCAUGCCGCGUGUGUGAAGAAGGCCUUAUGGUUGUAAAGCACUUUAAGCGAGGAGGAGGCUCUUUUGGUUAAUACCCAAGAUGAGUGGACGUUACUCGCAGAAUAAGCACCGGCUAACUCUGUGCCAGCAGCCGCCGUAA
rnacentral:rRNA from 1 species